GACGAACGCUGGCGGCGUGCCUAACACAUGCAAGUCGAGCGCGAAAGUCCCUUCGGGGGCGAGUAGAGCGGCGGACGGGUGAGUAAUACAUAGGUAAACUACCUUCGAGCUUGGGAUAACCCCGCGAAAGUGGGGCUAAUACCGGAUAAGACCACGUAACCAUGUUACGGGGUCAAAGGUGGCUUAUUUUUUAAAUGAGCUAUCACUUGAGGAUGAGCCUGUGGCCUAUCAGCUAGUUGGCGGGGUAAGAGCCCACCAAGGCUAUGACGGGUAGCUGGUCGGAGAGGACGACCAGCCACACUGGGACUGAGACACGGCCCAGACUCCUACGGGAGGCAGCAGUGGGGAAUAUUGGGCAAUGGGCGAAAGCCUGACCCAGCGACGCCGCGUGGGCGAUGAAGGCCUUCGGGUUGUAAAGCCCUGUCAUGCGGAAAGAACGACCCUGUGACGCAUACUCACAGGGAGUAACGGUACCGCAGGAGGAAGCACCGGCUAACUCCGUGCCAGCCGCCGCCGUAAAAC
rnacentral:rRNA from 1 species